UCUUUCCCUUCUUCUCUCCCUCUUUCUUCCUUCCUCCCCUCUCUUUCAGGACACAUUAACCUCAUUAUUUGUAUUUUUAAAGCUUCCCUUAAAUAAAGAAAUCACACACAAAGUGAGGCUGGAGUGAAGGAUUAAAAAGUUGACCUUUCUGACAAAGUGGAUGGCGUGUUCCAAAGGCUGGCGAUCGAUCGAUCAGGAGGGAGACCCUAGGCCUGCAUCUUCUCUCAGUGGAUAUUUAACCUUGGGGGCUGGACGACUGGUCAAUCUGGGCGAAUGAUAUUUCACCAGGUGGUCACAUCCCAACCCCUGGCCUAGGGCAGCAGUUUCCUAAUAGGAUUUCCUGCCUCCAGCUUCUCCCCAAUCCAAUCCAUUUCCCACAAAGAUGCCAUAUUAAUAUUACUGAAGCACAUUCGAUGGGUCACUCCUCCUUCAAACAUCUGCAGUGGCUCCCUAUUGCCUCGGGGGGAACAAAUGAUCAACUCCCCUGUUUCAAAGCAAGACUGUUCUGGAGCUAAGUCCAACAGGCUACUUGCUGUUCUUGGAAUACUUUUCCUCUUCAUCUCUGUCUUCGGGAACCCUGCGAUGGCACAGCGGGUCUGAGUGCUGGAUUUAAGAGUUGGGAAGAUCUGAAUGCAAAUCCUGCCUCAGACACUUACAAGCUGAGUGAUUCUGGGCAAGUCACUUUACCUUUUGAACCUGUUUCCUUACCUAUAAAAUGGGAAUAAGGAUGGUGAGGAUAAAAUAAGGUCAUAUAUAUGGUACUUUGCUCA